rnacentral:lncRNA from 1 species
UGCUCAUUGAAGCAACAGCAGCAAGAUGUUAACCCUGUCUCGAAAAAAACAAAAAAAAUCAACCAACAACCCAGAUGUUAUUCAUUCAUCUAUCCUCAACAAACCCUAUUGUCCACCUCAAAUCACUGCUCCCUGCUGGGUGUACAAUAUAUAGUGUUCCGGAAGUCUGGAUCAUGUGUGUCUUCCCAGCUUCUUGGAGGGUAUGGAAAAUAUGCAAAUAAAUGUAAA